AUGGAUGGCCCUGUCAGUCAGCAUCUGAGCGUCGUGGACUCUCUGAGCUCCAGACAGGAUCUCCUCUCCCCUCAUGAACAUGUCAUAUGAGUUGGAGUAUUUCUGGACAAAAAAACAAAAAACAUCACCUAUGAGGUCAAGAAUCUGUUAAAUGAAAGGGAGAGGAAAGACCAUGACAGACAAAACAUAAAGACUUGGGAAGUUGAAAGUUAAAGGACUGCUGUGGUCCUUUCUUUUAACUUUUAGACUGCUGCAUCAACACAGGACUACUUUGGGACUCCAGAAACAGCAGAAACCAUGUUAAGACUGAAGUUGAAUCUGUCCACCUAAACUGGUUGACAAACUCGUACUAGACAUAUAGGUUACGCAGCAACAAGAAAAGAAAAAAACUUAAAUUAGCAGUGCAGUGGCUUUUCUGUGACACUGCUAGCAGGUUUCUAAUGAUGCAAGUUAAACUCUUCAUGAUUACACUUUAGGGAGCUUUACUUGUGCAACAAAAUCCACUGUGGUGUUUAUCAGCCAGUACAUCCAGCAUAGGACACAGCUGAAAAGUCUUUGGGUUAGUAUAAAGCUGUUCUCUGGCCGCAAUGCAAGUUUAACCACAGGUCAACCACAAAACUAAUUUGCAUAAAUCUACAUAACAUUUGUCACUGUACAUGUGUUACUAUGUAGCCAGUAACUGUGUAUACAGUAUGUGGGUAUGAGUAAGUGAGAGACUUACAGGGUUGUUUGGAUCAGGCAUUGUGUAGAAGGGUCUAACAGCCAGUGGGUACUUAUCCAGCACAUAGAAGUCAGUGUCAUACUGAGGAAAA